rnacentral:rRNA from 1 species
UGGGGAAUAUUGCACAAUGGGCGCAAGCCUGAUGCAGCAACGCCGCGUGAACGAUGAAGGUCUUCGGAUCGUAAAGUUCUGUUGCAGGGGAAGAUAAUGACGGUACCCUGUGAGGAAGCCCCGGCUAACUACGUGCCAGCAGCCGCGGUAAUACGUAGGGGGCUAGCGUUAUCCGGAUUUACUGGGCGUAAAGGGUGCGUAGGUGGUCUUUCAAGUCGGUGGUUAAAGGCUACGGCUCAACCGUAGUUAGCCUCCGAAACUGGAAGACUUGAGUGCAGGAGAGGAAAGUGGAAUUCCCAGUGUAGCGGUGAAAUGCGUAGAUAUUGGGAGGAACACCAGUAGCGAAGGCGGCUUUCUGGACUGCAACUGACACUGAGGCACGAAAGCGUGGGUGGCAAACAGG